UACGUAGGGGGCAAGCGUUACUCGGAUUUACUGGGCGUAAAGCGCGUGUAGGCGGCUGGUCAAGCGUGAUGUGAAAUCUCCGGGCUCAACCCGGAAACUGCAUCGCGAACUGGCCUGGCUAGAGUGCAGGAGAGGGCGGCGGAAUUCCCGGUGUAGCGGUGAAAUGCGUAGAUAUCUGGAGGAACACCGGUGGCGAAGGCGGCAUCCUGGACCGGUAUUGACGCUGAGGCGCGAAAGCCAGGGGAGCAAACGGG
rnacentral:rRNA from 1 species